rnacentral:lncRNA from 1 species
GGAGAAACCGGGGUGGGGGAGGGGUCAGCAUCAGCCCAGGCAGGACUGUCCUGGGGAGCCCCUCCUGUUCUCAGGCAAGACUGGGAAAUCCCAGCCCUAGGGCCCUGGAGAGGCCCUCACCCGCUCUGCUUUCACCCAACCCGACUGACACGGAGUAGGAGGUGGGAAUCAUGCAGGCAGGGAGCUUAGGAAGCCUGGUUUAAGGUGAGAGCAUCUUGACCCCAAAAUGCCCUUCUUAAUGGGGCUCAAGAUCUUCUUUCAGGCAACAGAAAGCAACAUUAUUGGCAUCUGUAGGCAAAGGUUUGCUAAGAUGGUAGAAGGCAACCUAUGGUGGUUUGCUGUUCGAUAAGACUAGUGGCUACACAAUGUUGUCAACUGCAAAUGAGUUACAGAAUAUUGGUAAUGCCAGGGCCAUUUUUCUAAAAAAAAAAAUAACUUUACUGGUGAGGUUAGCUAAUUAGCUAUAAACAUCAUAAACUGAAAGGGUAAUGUUUUAACUCAAUUGGAGGUCUGUACUUCUCCAGAUUGCUUUGAAUGGCAGGCCCCCUGCUGUGCUCCUGGGGAGAGAGCCUGAAACCUGGAUGCUCGGGAGCCCCUCAGAUCCGUCAUCUGUCCCCGACACCCCUGUGCACACACCUACACUUGAUGGCAGGGAAAUAAUUAUUUCCUGCAGAAUGGGCUGCAAAUGUAACAAACCCCCUGACCUUCAGUCUGAAGAGAGAGAACUAUCAACCACACAGAAGCAAAGAUCCAGAGAAAUACUGAGGGAUGCUACCAGACACUCAACCAGGGCCACUCUCCGAGAUUCCAGCCAGCCACACAGCAAAGAUGCUGGCCGGGGACACUGCCCCAAACCACCAGACAGAACCCCAAAGAAACAGCUCCACACACAGUGGAAGAUACACCAGAGACUGUUAGAAGGACCAUCAGACAAAGCCAAAGAGACAGGUAGAUGAAACCAGAUAACCAGCCAGAGAGGUGGUCAGAGAACAGCGACACAAUCAAAGGACCCACCAGAAACACUGUAAAGGACUCAGCUAGACCCAGGCAGAUACACUGCCGAAGGACGAGCAAGGAGCACAGGCAGUGAAGCCGUCGGCGACAAAGCCAGAGAGCUAAGACACUGUCAGAAACAGUGCCAGAGAAACCGUCUGACACACAAGCAGAGAAAUACCAGAGAAACUGAUAGACGCAAACAGGCGUACACCCAGAAAAACAGCUUGAGAGAAGAGCCAGAGCCACAGCCAGAUGCUCAGUCAGGAAGUAUCCACACCACUCCAAACACUGCCAGAGACACUGUCAGACACACAGUCAGACACACUGCCAGAGACACCGUUAUAAAGACUGCCAGAGAAACAGCCAGACACACAGCCAGAAAAACUGACAGAGACGCAGUGCCAGAUAUACCCCGAGAAAGUGCCAGAGACUCAGCUCCAGACAGUGCAGACAUAGCAUAACAGAGACAAAUGUGGGUAUCAGCCUGAAGCAGCUGCGGAGAGGCUGGAGAGCAAUGAACUUCCUGGGGCUUCCUGUGGGAGAGGGCUCCUGCCUGCCUUUUGCUACCCUUGACCCUCUCCAGGAAAGUCCCCUCCUCUGAGCCUGCUUUUCCUUUCCUCCCUGUCACAGCCACAGGUGCCCUGACUGCCCCUCCCUGGCACAGUAAAUCUCUCUGUGUCCUAAGUGGC